UCAACAAGUUUGAUAGGUGCAUAUCGGACUUGAAGGACAUUGAUGUGAAAGUAGAUGAUGAGGAUCAAGCACUUCUACUACUUCUUUCAUUGCUAAAGUCUUACGAGAACCUAGUACAAACAUUGAUGCUUGUGGGUGAUAAACUUGUGAUGGAGGAUACCAGAACGUCACUUCUAGCGGAUGAUCUUCAAAAGAUUGCAACUAGUGGCA
rnacentral:lncRNA from 1 species